UCUCCCAGCACCAGUUUCUCCCUACUAGUCAAGGUUCGUCCACAUAACAUAAACCAACUCUGGCUAGCUUAAGCAGCAAAGGAAUUCAUUAGAAUAGUAUAGAGUCAACAAGGAAGCCAAAAAUCCAAAUCCAGCCAGGAACCAAGAGAGAUUGGGUAUCCAAAUACCAUCAAGAUCAUGUCAUCAAAAUAAGGCCAUCAUCACUGACACCACCACCACUGGCUACUUGCUGCUGCCACUUUUGGUGUCUCUGACAAAGGAUCCCCAUCCUCUGCAUGUUCUUUCAAACCCAAUACUGCAGUAAUACAGAACUCCCACCUUCUUAUCUUCACAAUAUUCAAAGUCCUGUACAGUAGCAUCUGUUUCACUGAUUGCAGACCACAUGCUAAUACCUUUGGUGGAGAACAAGGAGAGCUGUUUUUCUUGGUUUCCAUAGUGAGAGGUGGAGCCUUGUCUCCUAUAUAUGUUGGAUCUUUACAUGAGAAGAGUGGAUGCUAGGUGGUCCCAUUCCACUACCCCAUCCCUGAAAAAGUCUAAUGGUCUUUAAACUGAAACGAUUAGAACAAACAGCAAAUAGACAAAAGCUAAGUACCUUGACAAACAUCUUUAGACCCCAGCUUUUGCAGGCAUCUUUAUUGAAAAGUGGUCGUCUAGAAUCCUUGUGGACGAGAUGAAAAUUUCUAGGCUGGAUGACUUCAUAUGAAGAAUGCUGCUGGUCCAUUGAUGUUGACUUGCAGAGACUUUACUAAAGUUCUGUGGACUUUG